rnacentral:lncRNA from 1 species
UGAUGAAAUAUGAGUGCGAUUUCCUGUGCCCUCAGCAUUUCUGGUUUCUCUUCUUGAUGCAAGCAGACUUAUCACGCACCUCUGUGGGCAAAACUCAUCAGUCUAAGAAGCAAGGAAGCUCUCAAUAUUGAACAGCAGAAGAUAACAUCACCCAAAAGAAGCAACCAAAGCCUAUGCCUCCUGAUGAAAGAGCACAAUGUCACAUGAUCGUCUUGCCAAAGCAAAUAAGCCUGAAUCUCAUCCAACGCCCAUUCACCGGAAAUACAUAGGAUAGAAGACCGUGGUAAACUGCACUGUGAUGAUAUAACCAGC